UGAUAUGAGGGCGAUCUGGCUGCGACAUCUGUCACCCCAUUAAUCUCCAGGGUUGAUUUGGCUGAUCUGGCUGGCUAGGCGGUGUCCCCUUCCUCCCUCACCACUCCAUGUGUGUCCCUCCCGAAGCUGUGCCCUCGGUGGAAGAGGACGACCUUUCCCGAUAGAGGAGGACCGUUCUUCGGUCAAGGGUAUACGAGUAGCUGCGCUCCCCUGCUAGAACCUCCAAACAAGCUCUCAUAUAUUUAUCUUCUUAUUACUGAGCUGUAAGAGUUCUUCUUCUAUUAUGGACACAAGUUCUUAAACAGUUAGA
rnacentral:snRNA from 1 species